UAUGUUUAAAGGCGUAGUUUGUAGUUUUGAUGAUGAAACCUUUGUCUCCAGUUUCCGGUAAAGCUGCACUCGUCGCCGCCGUUGCCGCGGCAGGUUUCUCGGCCGAAGAGCGGCGAGCCUCGCUCUCCUCUGCUGAAGAGAGUGCAGUCUGCAGAGAAACUGUGUGUGAGCGCCCCCAGCGGCUCCGGAGGAGGAACUGCAGCUGCAGGAAGGAAACACAGUGUGGACGUCGGCCACGGCCUCCAGGUCAGAAACAUUUAUCAUUUUAGGAUAAACUCAAAGUCUCAGGAGGGUUUCUGACUCGUCUGUCUCUCAGGACGCGGCGCCGGACGCGGGACGUGUGUCUCAGUCCAAACUCAAGGACAAACUGUCCACGAUCCGGCAGGACCGAGCCGAGCGCCGCGAGUCGCUGCAGAAACAGGACGCCAUCCGCGAGGUCGACUCCUCCGAGGACGAAGACGAGGACGUCCCCUCGGAGACGGUCCAGACCGGCCGCUGCGGCGUCCUGCCGUCCCUCUGCCUGUCCCCGCAGCUCGCCACCUUCAGCCACGGCGUCUUCUCCAAACCCGGCAGCGCCUUCACACCGUGAGACGCUUCUGCCAAAGCAAACACGGAAACACGACGGAGACACAGGACACUUCACCAAACCACGGCCGCCAGAACCCGAGCACAGAGCCAGAGGGGACGAGUGUGGGCCCAACGACGAGUGUGGACCCAACGACACUUCACCAAACCACGGCCGCCACAAACAGACCACAGAGCCACACGGGGCGAGUGUGGGCCCAACGACAGAUUCAUCAGACCACUGCCUCCAAAGACUCCUCCUACCUACGCAAUAACUACCACUAAUACUUCUGCUACUGCAGUAACCACUAAUACUCUCACUUACACUUCCAUGACUGCAACUACUACCACUUCUACUUCUCUACUGCAAUAACUACCAAUAAUACUCGUACUUCUACUACCAUGACUCCAACUACCACUUCUACUUCUCCUGCAGUACCCACUAGUACUUCUUCUCCUGCAGUACCCACUAGUCCUCGUCCCGCCGCUCGUCUUUAUUCGCUCAAAUCGCUGCGACCGUCGGACGCAGCCUCUGUCCUGAACCAAAGCCCCGCCUUUUCAGAAACCGCCGGAUCAGAGCCAAGACCUGGACUUGGACCUGGACCUGCCAAAUCCAUUCCAGAGCCCAGCCCCGCCCCAGCCCGGGUCCACAGUCCAGCCCCAGACCGGCCUCGUCUCCGGGUUUGUCCAAAAAGAAAAAGGACCUGGACAAUCGCAGACUCUCGGCGCAGAUCGCGGCUCACGAAGCUCCUCCCCCUCAGAGCGACGCCCUGAAGCUGCCGACGCCCACGCGAGCAGAAGCUUCCGGGUCACAGUCCGGGUCACAGUCCGGGUCGGCCGCGGGAUUGGGGGCGGAGCCGAGACAUCAGGCCAAACCCGCGGACAAAAGGAAAGACGUGUAGCUCUGAGGUUCGACGAGGCGUUUGCUCUGGGACGUCAUCUGCAGACCCUCAAACGCUGCCGGGUUAAUCCCAAAACAAGGUGUUGCAGUGAAUCCAGUCCGGUCUGUCUCUGCUCAGAAAGUCCAGUCCGGUCUGUCCUGCUCAGAAAGUCAGUCCGGUCUGUCCUGCUCAGAAAGUCCAGUCCGGUCUGUCUGCUCAGAAAGUCCAGUCUGGUCUGUCUGCUCAGAAAGUCCAGUCUGGUCUGUCUCUGCUAGAAAGUCCAGUCCGGUCUGUCUGCUCAGAAAGUCCAGUCCGGUCUGUCUCUGCUCAGAAAGUCCAGUCCGGUCUGUCUCUGCUCAGAAAGUCCAGUCCGGUCUGUCUCUGCUCAGAAAGUCCAGUCCGGUCUGUCUCUGCUCAGAAAGUCCAGUCCGGUCUGUCUCUGCUUAGAAAGUCAUCGUCUGCCUGCUAGAAAGUCCAGUCCGGUCUGUCUGCUCAGAAAGUCCAUCCGGUCUGUCUCUAGAAAGUCCAGUCCGGUCUGUCCUCUGCUUAGAAAGUCCAGUCCUGGUCUGUCUCUGCUCAGAAAGUCCAGUCCGGUCUGUCUCUGCUCAGAAAGUCCAGUCCGGUCUGUCUCUGCUCAGAAAGUCCAGUCCGGUCUGUCUGGUGUCUCUGCUCAGAAAGGUCCAGUCCGGUCUGUCUCUGCUCAGAAAGUCCAGUCCGGUCUGUCUGCUGCUCAGAAAGUCCAGUCCGGUCUGUCUGCUCAGAAAGUCCAGUCCGGUCUGUCCUGCUCAGAAAGUCCAGUCCGUCUCUCUCGUUCUGUCUCUGCUCAGAAAGUCCAGUCUGGUCUGUCUCUGCUCAGAAAGUCCAGUCCGGUCUGUCCUCUGUCUUUCUCUCAUCAUCUUUCCUCUAACCAGUUUUGUUCCUCCGGUUUAUUCCCAGUUUUUACUUUCGCCUGCUUACUUAUGUUUCACCUUUUUUUAAAUUCCGACGACAUCAGAACUUAGAUGUUCGAUUUUCUGGUUUGGUUUAACGAGACCCGGCUCUAAAGUAAAGUAUUGUUUCCCUGAUUUCAAACCUGACUCUUUGUGUGAAACUCUCCUUCGUCCAGCAGCUUCUGUUCAAAUGUCUGCGCUGGAAGAACCUGCUUUACCUUUGAGAAACGCCUUAAACGAGCUGGAACUAAGAUCACCAACAGUUUGGCUUUACCCAAAUCUAAAUUAGGCCUCAUUUGAAAGCUAAGACCUACAAACAGAUCUAAGCUCUUUCCUCAUGCCUUGUUUUUGGUCACAUGUUUGAUCUUAAAAACAGAAACAAACGGAUGAAGUUUAGAUGUGUUUUGUGGGUCUUAGCUUUCAAAUGAGGCGUUAGAUUUGGGUAAAUCUGGGGUUAAAAUGACACAGGAAGAUCAGACCGGCUCAAAAUCAGAGAAACUCAUAAUUCAAGCUCCUGCAGCGUCGCCUUAAACGCCUGAUUCAGAAAUGAGUCUGAAACCUGGACUUAAAGCUUCAUCAUAUCUGUGUGACUCAGUGAGACACUGAAGCUCAGACUGAAGCCUGCCCCCCUGCUGGACAAGACAGAAAAGACGUGAGUUAAACUUGGAUCCAGAGGUGACAGGCCUAAAGUUCUCUCUGUUUGGCACUUUUAUCUCCGUCUCAAAUAUAAUAAUGUUUGUGUUUGUGUUCUGUUGUAAAUGUUUAAACUGUGGCUGAAUUUCACUGUGGACUUUCACAAACUGGGAAACCUGGACCGGCUCCGACGACACGGACCGGGACUCGAUUCACUCGGAGCGGUUUGUUUCCGAGUGUGAAUGUUUGUUUUGUCUUGAAUUUGAGGCAGAUUUCGGAGGAAAAUCAGUGCAAUAUUUUAGCUUUGUGAACGUGUUGCUGCAUGUCUCUCAGUAAACUGCAAUAAAUCGCUUUUUUUACCAAAACUACAUGACA
rnacentral:lncRNA from 1 species